UACAGAGGUCUCAAGCGUUGUUCGGAUUCAUUGGGCGUAAAGGGUGCGUAGGUGGCGCCAUAAGUCAGGUGUGAAAUUUCGGAGCUUAACUCCGAAACUGCAUUCGAUACUGUGGUGCUUGAGGACUGGAGAGGAGACUGGAAUUCACGGUGUAGCAGUGAAAUGCGUAGAGAUCGUGAGGAAGACCAGUGGCGAAGGCGGGUCUCUGGACAGUUCCUGACACUGAGGCACGAAGGCCAGGGGAGCAAACGGG
rnacentral:rRNA from 1 species